rnacentral:lncRNA from 13 species
UGUCAUUUCAUCUGUAGGCAGCAUGAGACUUCUAAAAAUCAUAGAGGCUGCUUUUUAGAUGGUUCACCUAAAAAGCUAAGCCUUUUCCUACUGUCUGCAGUAACUAUUAGUUAAAGGUUACCUUGAGAAUGAUAACGCCCUACCUUUCCAGACGAAAUUUUCACUGAAGACCUGGCAACAGAAUGCAGAACAUUGGGUGGAGUUGAUGCGAGGUGAAUCAUUAGCAGCAGGAAAUGAGUCUGAGCUCCUCAUAACAGUUCAUGACAGCUGUAGCUGCAUCUGCGGUGGGCUGAGGGCAUGCAUGAUAAGCACCAGAGGACUCCAGGGUUGAAAGGGCUCCAUAGCUCAGGGGAAGGAAACCCAGGAGCCUGAUGUAUAGGCAAAAGAGUCAAGGAAAUUUUGAGCCAUCUACAACUUUUAACAUUGGAUAAAUUAAACUCCUGUGAACAAAAUUUUGAAGCAUAUUUGUUUCUCUCUGCAUGGUUUCUCCAGAAUUUGGAAACUAUUUCACUUUCAGCUCUUAAAACUUCUGUUAAAGGUUUACCAUCCAGACACUGAGUAUUUUGUACAGCAGACAUGGUCCAUCAUCAGCAUAGUCUUGAAGGAAGUAUAUAACAUGGUGGAGCCAUUGCGGACAGAGACCACAUGGAAACUGUGUAGCAUCCACAUUUUCUUCCUUGUUCAGGAACCACCCUACCCAAUUCAGGAAUCAGGAAUUCCAAAGAGCUUGGCUGGACAGUUCUUACUUCGAAGACUUUAACGUCCCUCACUACCUAGCAGUUGAUGCUGAUCACCAGCUGAGAACUCACCUGUGGUUCUCUGCUGGAGGCCUGACAUGACUCUCCAGGACAGUGAUCUCAGGUACUCAGACUCCUUACAUAGCAGCUAUCUUCCUUCACAGUAACCCAUGCAAGCAAAGAGAUCAUGAAGAAAUGACAUGGUCUAAUCUGACCUGUGCUCACAAGUUACACAGAGUAACUUUUACUUCAUUCUGCUGGUUACAACUGAGUCACUAAGGCUGGUCCAGGAUCAAUGUCUCUUUACAAAGGUGACGUUUUAGAAGAGAGCUGAAAGAAGAGCGGCAAAAUAUAGGUCAGUCUGGAGGAAAAGGAAUUCAGAAAAAGAUAGAAGGAGAGCAACAAAGAACAGUACUUAGAAUGUCUGUGUGCAUAAGAGGAAAUCAGAGUGCAGCAGGAAGCCCGGUCUUUAAAGGUUAUGUAAACUGAUGUAAACAAAGUAAGAUCAAAAUCAGAGGAAUACUUGAGAUGAAGACAUAUUAUGCCCAAAUUAAUGUUUUAAAUGUGUUCCUCUCCAGCAAUGAGGAAACCAGGGUGUGAGGAAACAAGAGUAUAUUCAGGGAGAUUUGUGAGGGUUUACUGCAAUCAUUCAGAUGAGAAAUGAUGAUGGCUUGAAUAAACUGAGUAUAGAGAAGGUGAUUAGAAUUAUU